UUCCGGUUGAUCCCGCCGGACCUGACUGCUAUCGGAUUGAUACUAAGCCAUGCGAGUCAUUGUAGUAAUACAAGGCAGACGGCUCAGUAACGCGUAGUCAACCUAACCUAUGGACGGGAAUAACCUCGGGAAACUGAGUAUAAUGCCCGAUAGAACAUUAUGCCUGGAAUGGUUUAUGUUCCAAAUGAUUUAUCGCCGUAGGAUGGGACUGCGGCCUAUCAGUUUGUUGGUGAGGUAAUGGCCCACCAAGACUAUUACAGGUACGGGCUCUGAGAGGAGUAGCCCGGAGAUGGGUACUGAGACACGGACCCAGGCCCUAUGGGGCGCAGCAGGCGAGAAAACUUUGCAAUGUGCGAAAGCACGACAAGGUUAAUCCGAGUGGUUUCUGCUAAAGGAACCUUUUGUCGGUCCUAGAAACACCGAUGAAUAAGGGGUGGGCAAGUUCUGGUGUCAGCCGCCGCGGUAAAACCAGCACCUCAAGUGGUCAGGAUGAUUAUUGGGCCUAAAGCAUCCGUAGCCGGCUCUGUAAGUUUUCGGUUAAAUCUGUACGCUCGACGUACAGGCUGCCGGGAAUACUGCAGAGCUAGGGAGUGGGAGAGGUAGACGGUACUCGGUAGGAAGGGGUAAAAUCCUUUGAUCUAUUGAUGACCACCUGUGGCGAAGGCGGUCUACCAGAACACGUCCGACGGUGAGGGAUGAAAGCUGGGGGAGCAAACCGGAUUAGAUACCCGGGUAGUCCCAGCUGUAAACUAUGCAAACUCAGUGAUGCAUUGGCUUGUGGCCAAUGCAGUGCUGCAGAGAAAGCCGUUAAGUUUGCCGCCUGGGAAGUACGUACGCAAGUAUGAAACUUAAAGGAAUUGGCGGGGGAGCACACAAGGGUGAGCCUGCGGUUCAAUUGGAUUCAACGCAGA
rnacentral:rRNA from 1 species